GUGAAAUUGAAGCUCAGAAAGAUGCUCAAGGUCACACAGCCAGGGAAUGACAAUCUGGCUCUAGCACCUGUUACCUACCCUCUACUCUACUCUCAAAGGUCAGGGUUAACUACAGCUUCCAGGCUAAGAGAAGCCUGUUUCUGUGAAGAGGAGAGCAUGAAAUAUGUGGAAUAUUGUGCUAAGACCUUUAUCACAAGACAGAACCCAGAGGAUUCAGACAGACGAGGAAGUCAGGAAGCUUGCAUGUCAUAUCCUGCUGGAGGCACAAAAACCACAAGUGAAGGGUAUUGGAUGAUGCAUAAUUGUGUCAUGUAAAAUGGAUUCACCUAUUUACAAGUUCUCUAGGAAUCCAGCUGUCCAUGAGAGAAACUGGUGAGUGGUUAA
rnacentral:lncRNA from 1 species